AUUGAACGCUGGCGGCAGGCUUAACACAUGCAAGUCGAGCGAGCGGCGGACGGGUGAGUAAUGUCUGGGAAACUGCCUGAUGGAGGGGGAUAACUACUGGAAACGGUAGCUAAUACCGCAUCCCAUCAGAUGUGCCCAGAUGGGAUUAGCUAGUAGGUGGGGUAAUGGCUCACCUAGGCGACGACCCCUAGCUGGUCUGAGAGGAUGACCAGCAAAACUGGAAGUGAGACACGGUGAAGGUUCCUACGGGAGGGAGCAGUGGGGAAUAUUGCACAAUGGGCGCAAGACUGAUGCAGCCAUGCCGCGUGUGUGAAGAAGGCCUUCGGGUUGUAAAGCACUUUCAGCGAGGAGGCGUUACUCGCAGAAGAAGCACCGGCUAACUACGUGCCAGCAGCCGCGUAAUUC
rnacentral:rRNA from 1 species